UACGUAGGGGGCAAGCGUUGUCCGGAAUUAUUGGGCGUAAAGAGCUCGUAGGCGGUCCGUCACGUCGGCUGUGAAAACCUGGGGCUCAACCCCGGGCCUGCAGCCGAGACGGGCAAGCUAGAAUUCGGUAGGGGAGAGUGGAAUUCCUGGUGUAGCGGUGAAAUGCGCAGAUAUCAGGAGGAACACCGGUGGCGAAGGCGGGUCUCUGGGCCGAAAUUGACGCUGAGGAGCGAAAGCGUGGGGAGCAAACAGG
rnacentral:rRNA from 1 species